CAUACUCAGGCACCAUCAGGGAAAAGGAGAGAGAGAAGGCUGAGCCCAGAAAUGACCCACCAUUCUAUGAUUAAAGAAACCCUGCCCCAAAGACACGCUCUAGUUUAUUCAAAGCUGGGAAAAGGAAAUCCCAUAAACAUUUGAUGUCUCCUCUCCUUCCUCCCACUUUCCUCCCAAGGAUAUAAUAGAAUUCAGAUCAUGCAACAUCAUGCCCCUGGAAGAAAGCAAUGGAAAGACCGACUGGGAAAAAAUCUGCCAGAAAUCUGAUGUUGUCUUUGGGAGAGCAGAAAGACAUCUUCAUGAAUAUGAAAACCCCCAUCUCUUUGACUCAGAUAUUGAGUGGCAAGAUCAGUUGGGAUCUGUUGACUUCAACCAUCUGAGACAUCUGAGACUUCAUUAUGCAAGACGCUGAAGGGAUUGGAUACCAUAAAACGCUUGUCUGGAUUUCAUUGGUAUAGGGAACUCCUAGAAGAAGACUCUUCCCAUACUAAUUCAUGUCAGAACAUUCUCUGCAAUUUAUAGGUUUAGAAAAUUGUCUGAGGAGUUGAAAGGAAGCAAUAAGAAAGGGAGGGGAUAAGGAAGAGAGGAAGGGAGGGAGGGAGAGAGGAAGGGAGGAAGGAAGGAAGGGAGGAAGGAAGGAAGGGAGGAAGAAAGGAAGGGAGGAAGAAAGGAAGGGAGGAAGGAAGGAAGGGAAGAAGAAAGGAAGCAAGGAAGGGAGGAAGGAAGGAAGGAAGGAAAGGAGGGAGGGAGGGAAGAAGGGUGGAAGGGAGAGAGGAAGGGUGGGAGGGAGAGAGGAAGGGUGGGAGGGAGAGAGGAAGGGAGGGUGGGAGGAAAGAAAGAAAGAAGAAAGGGAAGGAGGAAGGGAAGGAGGGAGGGAGGUGAGAAAAAAGGAGAAGUAUUUAUUAAGUACCUACAAUUGUCAGUUACUAUGCUAAGCACUUUACAAAUAUUAACUUGGCUAGAAUCAUAUAACUAGUAUAGGUAUCUAGGAAGUGUAAUGGAUAGAGUCAAGUUGGAAUCCAGAGCCUUAAGUUUAAAUCUUACCUCUGUUUACUAACUGUGUGAUCCUGGACAAAUCACCUCUCUUAAUCUCAGUUAAUAAAUGAGCAUAAAAAAGCACUUACUCCCCAAGAUUGUUAUGAG
rnacentral:lncRNA from 1 species